GGUUUCCGUAGGUGAACCUGCGGAAGGAUCAUUACCGAGUGAGGGCCCUCUGGGUCCAACCUCCCACCCGUGUUUAUUUUACCUUGUUGCUUCGGCGGGCCCGCCUUAACUGGCCGCCGGGGGGCUUACGCCCCCGGGCCCGCGCCCGCCGAAGACACCCUCGAACUCUGUCUGAAGAUUGUAGUCUGAGUGAAAAUAUAAAUUAUUUAAAACUUUCAACAACGGAUCUCUUGGUUCCGGCAUCGAUGAAGAACGCAGCGAAAUGCGAUACGUAAUGUGAAUUGCAAAUUCAGUGAAUCAUCGAGUCUUUGAACGCACAUUGCGCCCCCUGGUAUUCCGGGGGGCAUGCCUGUCCGAGCGUCAUUGCUGCCCUCAAGCACGGCUUGUGUGUUGGGCCCCGUCCUCCGAUCCCGGGGGACGGGCCCGAAAGGCAGCGGCGGCACCGCGUCCGGUCCUCGAGCGUAUGGGGCUUUGUCACCCGCUCUGUAGGCCCGGCCGGCGCUUGCCGAUCAACCCAAAUUUUUAUCCAGGUUGACCUCGGAUCAGGUAGGGAUACCCGCUGAACUUAAGCAU
rnacentral:rRNA from 1 species